ACCAAGUCUAGGGUAGCUCCCGAACGGCCAGAACCCUAAUGGCCUGACUUGGUGACAACCCAUAUAAAUUGGG
rnacentral:ncRNA from 1 species